AGCCAAGUUGUCUUUGUAUGCAUUGCUUGUUCCUUUUAAGUUCUGGAUCAGAAGGAUGAAUACUUUCAAGUAAACAAAAUGUCAACAAAACAUAAUGGAUAUUUUGUAAACAAUGGAAAAUUAGAGCAAAUAUAAGCUGAGUCAAGCAUCAAGAAAUCAACUAGUUUUGGUGUCACAUAAUGUUGGGUAAGUAAGACUUAUAAUAUCAGUUUUAAUUUAUUGUUUCGAGAAA